UGAGCAGGAUGAAUGAUCGCGGCCGUCCGUCCCUCCAUGCGGAGGGCGGCGGGUGAGGAAAGUCCGGGCUUCGCAGGGCAGGAUGCCGGAUAACGUCCGGUGGAGGCGACUCCAAGGCCAGUGCAACAGAAAUGUACCGCCCGCGGUUUCCCGGGAACGGGAUCCCGUGUGGUAAGGGUGGAAAGGCAGAGUAAGAGACUACCGCCCGUCUGGCAACAGGCGGGGCACAUGUAAACCCCAUCCGAAGCAAGACCAGACAGAAAGCGACAGGCUUGCCCGGCCUGCUUUCAGGUAGGUCGCUUGAGGCUGCCGGCAACGGCAGUCCUGGAUAGAUGAUCAUUCACGACAUAACCCGGCUUACAGUCCUGCUCAUUUU
rnacentral:RNase_P_RNA from 1 species